UAGAGUUUGAUCAUGGCUCAGGAUGAACGCUGGCGGCGUGCCUAACACAUGCAAGUCGAGCGAGAAGCCCCGGAACGAGAUUUCGGUCGAGGGAAGGGGCGGGAAGCGGCGGACGGGUGAGUAACGCGUAGGCAACCUGCCCCAUGCGGAGGGACAGCCUCGGGAAACCGGGGUUAAUACCUCAUGAAGCGGCCCCGCCGCAUGGCGGGGCGGCCAAAGGUUGAUUCCGGCAUGGGAUGGGCCUGCGUCUGAUUAGCUGGUUGGCGGGGUGACGGCCCACCAAGGCGACGAUCAGUAGCCGACCUGAGAGGGUAAUCGGCCACAUUGGAACUGAGACACGGUCCAAACUCCUACGGGAGGCGGCAGUGGGGAAUAUUGCACAGUGGGGCGGAAGCCUGAUGCAGCAACGCCGCGUGAGCGAGGAAGGCCCUAUGGGUCGUAAAGCUCUGAUCUGAGGGAAGAAGGAAGUGACGGUACCUCAGGAGAAAGCCCCGGCUAACUACGUGCCAGCAGCCGCGGUAAUACGUAGGGGGCGAGCGUUAUCCGGAAUUAUUGGGCGUAAAGAGU
rnacentral:rRNA from 1 species